UGGCUCCCUAAUUUCUACGGCCUCCGCCAAGGAUGCCCACUCUCCCCAUUUUUUUUGUUAUGUGUUUUAAGAUGUUAUCUCUUUCUUUGCAAGGAGCUACUCAUACUGGCUUCCUUAAAGCAUACAGGCCUAGAAUACAUGGGUUCAUUGCUUCCCAUGUCUUCUUUGCUGAAAACUAUAUUCUACUUACUGGAGCUACUGCAUUAUAUCUCAAGCUGGUCUUGGAAGCAUAUUACCAUUUUUUUGGACUUGGG
rnacentral:lncRNA from 1 species